CGCACAUUGCGCCCCUUGGUAUUCCGGGGGGCAUGCCUGUUCGAGCGUCAUUACAACCCUCAAGCUCUGCUUGGUAUUGGGCUCCGUCCUCCACGGACGCGCCUCAAAGACCUCGGCGGUGGCGUCUUGCCUCAAGCGUAGUAGAAAACACCUCGCUUUGGAGUGCAGGGCGUCGCCCGCCGGACGAACCUUUGAAUAUUUUCUCAAGGUUGACCUCGGAUCAGGUAGGGAUACCCGCUGAACUUAA
rnacentral:misc_RNA from 1 species